UCUAUGCCUUGUUUUGAUUUUAACAAACUGUGAAAAGACCAACAGCUGUUACUGAGCUAAGAAGAACUAAAGGAUUUACAUGCCUAAGCCAGAGAGGAGAACAAGAGUCCAGUCUCUGUGGCCCAAUUCAGGACACUCUGACAGACAAGCCUUACUCUAAAGAUGUUAAUUCAUAAUAAAUAACUUAUAACCCAAACACCAUCAUGGUAUCUGCUUCUGGAGAACAUGACCCAUGAUAUUUGUGUUGGUGAAUAAAAUUUGGCAUGAAGAACACUGCACCAGCUCUGAGAUUAGACUUCAAAAAACCUUGCAGAUUUUCUCUCUGGGAACCCUAACAAGGUACCAUAUAAACAUGUCCUGAAUAGCCUGCCUUAAAAUUAGAGGCCAUGUCAAUAGCAGAAAUGAAUCAUCCCAGCUGAGGCCUUCCAAAGCAAUGAGAACCCAAUCAACUCAGCAGCUGACUAUACACAUGAAUAAACACUUCCUAGACUAGAACAGCCUAGCUGAGCCCAGUCCAAAUUGCUAACUAGCAGAAUCAGGAUCUAAAUAAAUAAUUGUUAUUUUACACCAUUAAA